rnacentral:rRNA from 1 species
GAUGAACGCUGGCGGCGUGCCUAAUACAUGCAAGUCGAGCGAACAGACGAGGAGCUUGCUCCUCUGACGUUAGCGGCGGACGGGUGAGUAACACGUGGAUAACCUACCUAUAAGACUGGGAUAACUUCGGGAAACCGGAGCUAAUACCGGAUAAUAUAUUGAACCGCAUGGUUCAAUAGUGAAAGACGGUUUUGCUGUCACUUAUAGAUGGAUCCGCGCCGCAUUAGCUAGUUGGUAAGGUAACGGCUUACCAAGGCAACGAUGCGUAGCCGACCGGAGAGGGUGAUCGGCCGCACUGGAACUGAGACACGGUCCAGACUCCUACGGGAGGCAGCAGUAGGGAAUCUUCCGCAAUGGGCGAAAGCCUGACGGAGCAACGCCGCGUGAGUGAUGAAGGUCUUCGGAUCGUAAAACUCUGUUAUUAGGGAAGAACAAAUGUGUAAGUAACUAUGCACGUCUUGACGGUACCUAAUCAGAAAGCCACGGCUAACUACGUG